AUGCAAGUCGAACGAGUCUCUGGGGGGUAACUCCUAGAGGAAAGUGGCGAAAGGGGCAGUAAUGUAUGGGUAACCUACCUUGAGGUCUGGGAUAGCCAUUCUAACGGAUGGGUAAUACUGGACGGCCUGAAUUGUCGGCAUCGAUGAUUUAGUAAAGGUUACGCCUCGAGAGGGGCCCAUAUGAUAUUAGCUAGUUGGUGAGGUAAUGGCUCACCAAGGCAAAGAUGUCUAGCGGGUGUGAGAGCACGACCCGCGUCACUGGCACUGAGACACUGGCCAGACCCCUACGGGAGGCUGCAGUCGAGGAUCUUCGGCAAUGGACGAAAGUCUGACCGAGCAACGCCGCGUGUGCGAUGAAGGCCUUCGGGUUGUAAAGCACUGUCGAGGGGAAACAAGCCGUAAGGUUGAGUGACCCCUGGAGGAAGCACGGGCUAAGUUCGUGCCAGCAGCCGCGGUAAGACGAACCGUGCAAACGUUAUUCGGAAUCACUGGGCUUAAAGGGCGCGUAGGCGGGUAAUCAAGUCAAUGGUGAAAUCCUCCAGCUUAACUGGAGAAGUGCCUUUGAUACUGGUUGUCUAGAGGGAGGUAGGGGCAUGUGGAACUUCAGGUGGAGCGGUGAAAUGCGUAGAUAUCUGAAGGAACGCCAGUGGCGAAAGCGAUGUGCUGGACCUCUUCUGACGCUGAGGCGCGAAAGCUAGGGGAUCAAACGGGAUUAGAUACCCCGGUAGUCCUAGCC
rnacentral:rRNA from 1 species